AUCCCUGCCUACCUGAGGUCUUCAAGGGUGUUACACUGGCCCCCUAUGCAUUGCUGGUUUGUCUAUCAAGUAAGGAUUUUGUUGAGCAGACGCACAUAUAAAUUGUUAUGAGGUGCAGCUGUCCAUGUGCUGGUAGUGUAAACAGCUCUGCAGACAUCAAGGUCAAUGAAGAAGUAGGAAGAAUGGAGAUGAUCCUGGCACUGGAGCAGUUUCUUCUGCAGCAGGUGGAUGACACGACAUGGGAGAGGACACAACAUGGAGGACUGCAGCUCGUGGAGAAGAAUUACUUUGAAUCAAGGGAUGAAUGUGAGGAGAGAGGAGUGGUUUUUCCAGGAUUUCACAUUGUCAUCUCCUGGAUCUCAAUUUGUGAGAAGUUACACAUCUCUGCCGUAAGAAAUGUCUUCACAUACAGGUACAACAGGAGAAAAACAGUAGACCCUAACCAGACAAACAUCACUUAUUAGACUUUUCCAUUUUUUGUCAAAUGAAUGGUUGAGAACUAUAAUUUUUCUUCCUCUGAUCUAAAUAACAUUAGUAUCUUGAAUAAUCUGUGGCACAUCCUAAAUGUGUGGAACAGUGCAGUAGAUUUGUGUGUGUGUGUGUGUGUAUUAGAGGAGAAAUAAGAACUAGCUACUAUAAUUGUGAAUUGAGAGGAAACAUGAAUUUGUGAUGCAGUUCAUGAACAAUAGCUUCUUCCAAGCUAUCAUUCAAUAUUUGUUGUAUAUGAUUCAUUCUUGUAAUAGAAAGCUUAAUUUUCCCAAUGAAACCUGACAGUUUUCUUGGACUAGAUUCAAAGGUGAUAUAUCUGCUGAGAAUAUAGAUUGAUGUUUCUCUGGCAGUGUUACAUAUGACAUUUUCUGUUGAUCUGAGAAGAGAAGAUAGAAACAAGACCACAACUUUAUGAAAAGCCCAUAGAUUUUUUUGUAGAAAAUGAAAGAAAUUUCAGCCUGACCUUUGGUGGGAAAAGAGACACCACUUCAGAGCAUCUAGCCAAGUAAACAAACUGACACUUCUGCAAUAAUGUAUACACUUUGCAGUUUGAACAGUUGCUUGAUGUUUAAAUUGAUCAUAUGACAACAAAAUGUCAGGAUACUGUUCAUAGGCAUACAGAUGAUUCUGUACAAAAAAAUUAUUAGGAAUAUUUAAGAAUGCAAAGAAAUUCAGGAAGGGUAGAUGCCUAUUGUGCUUGCAUAUCAGAAAGCUGUUGAGCUGUUGCAUAUGUAGAUACCUGACGUGUAUAAAGCAAUAGGAUGUGAGUGGUUCAAAGAAAAAAAGCAAGUAGAAUCAUGUUAUCAUUAAAGAAAAGAAUUUUCAUUCUGCUGUUUAAUAAUUCUAAUUAUGUGCUUUAUUUCCCACUGAAAAUAAAAAGCAAGUACAGAAUGCAAUGCAAGAAAUAUAGGAUUCAGAUGAAGAAAAAAGUUCAGUAACAUUUUUGCAGGUACAUUUCUGUGCUCAGUUUUGUUUGCCAUCAAUCUACCAUUUCCAUUACUGCUUAUCUAACUAAACCUAUGUCAAAACAAAUUAUAGAUUCUGUUUGAACGAGGUCUUGUAAAUUCCUUUCCGCACAAACAGUAGAAACUAUUGAAAUCUAUAAUAUGUGUGUAUAGAAAUUAAUGACUAGAAACAGUAUUUA
ensembl:lncRNA